AGUUUGAUCCUGGCUCAGAUUGAACGCUGGCGGCAGGCCUAACACAUGCAAGUCGAGCGGAAACGAUGGGAGCUUGCUCCCAGGCGUCGAGCGGCGGACGGGUGAGUAACACGUGGGAAUCUGCCCAUUAGUGGGGGAUAACUCGGGGAAACUCGAGCUAAUACCGCAUAAUCCCUACGGGGGAAAGCAGGGGAUCUUCGGACCUUGCGCUGAUGGAUGAGCCCGCGUCGGAUUAGCUUGUUGGUGGGGUAAUGGCCCACCAAGGCGACNAUCCGUAACUGGUCUGAGAGGAUGGCCAGUCACACCGGGACUGAGACACGGCCCGGACUCCUACGGGAGGCAGCAGUGGGGAAUCUUGGACAAUGGGCGCAAGCCUGAUCCAGCCAUGCCGCGUGUGUGAANAAGGCCUUCGGGUUGUAAAGCACUUUCAGUAGGGA
rnacentral:rRNA from 2 species